CGUCAGAGGCAGAGCUGUGUUCCAGAGGCUUCCACAGGAAUGAAGGGAGACUGCGUGUUGACAGAGUGUGCUGGCUUUCUGUAAGAAGGGAACUGGAGACAUACCUUCAGAAGGAGAGGGGUUCCCCUUGCAGCUCCCUGCCUUUCUGGUAUCUUCUGCAGUACAUGGAAAGCAAGUUCCUUUAUGCAGCAUGAAGACUAUUCUGACCCCAGCACACCCACUACCAGUGGGCAUGUUCAUUAGCCUGGAGCUGAAUUCCGAAUGAACAGAUUUUGUGUAACGCAAAUACCCCUUCAACAAGAGAG